rnacentral:rRNA from 1 species
UACGUAGGGGGCAAGCGUUGUCCGGAAUCAUUGGGCGUAAAGCGCGUGUAGGCGGCUCGAUAAGUCUGCUGUGAAAGUCCAGGGCUCAACCCUGGGAUGCCGGUGGAUACUGUCGAGCUCGAGUCCGGAAGAGGCGAGUGGAAUUCCUGGUGUAGCGGUGGAAUGCGCAGAUAUCAGGAGGAACACCAAUAGCGAAGGCAGCUCGCUGGGACGGUAUUGACGCUGAGGCGCGAAAGCGUGGGGAGCAAACAGG